UUCUGCAAUUAUUCAUUUGUUAUGUGAAUAAGUUUUUUUUUUUUUGUAGUUUAAUAGGGUGGGUGUUGUUUUCUAAGUGGCGAUUUUUUAAAUUUCCCCGUGUUGAGAUAUUUUUGAGUGCAAUCAAAACUUGAAAAGCAUUCUAAAGUGGGUUUUGUUGUUGACGUUGUUGUUGCUAACCAAUUAGUAAUUUAAUUUCAACAGUUUGUCAAUAAAAUUAUCAAUGAAAGUAUUUAUGAUUGGUAUUUGACAUUAAAAGAUACAUCUUAUCAUGCAAUAUAUUGUAGAUGUUACGUGGAUAUCAAUGUUAAACUGUUUUGCUGCAAGAAAGCUUUGGCCAAAAAGAUAAUUAGAUUAGUUGACACCAUCAGAAAAAUAAAGAAACAACAAAAAUAUUAUUAUUAAAGUUGUUAGGUGUAGCCUUUUUUCCACAUGUUUCAAAUUUCCUCAUAAUACAGUGAA
rnacentral:lncRNA from 1 species